rnacentral:snoRNA from 1 species
AUUCCAUGAUAAGGGCACUUUCGUAAUAACUUUUUGCACCUUUCCCAUGCCUCAUACAGGGACUCAUCAUCCAUUUGUUGGAAGGCAAUGAUCUCAUUCCUCAACUU